rnacentral:rRNA from 1 species
GACGAACGCUGGCGGCGUGCCUAAUACAUGCAAGUAGAACGCACAGUUUAUACCGUAGCUUGCUACACCAUAGACUGUGAGUUGCGAACGGGUGAGUAACGCGUAGGUAACCUGCCUGGUAGCGGGGGAUAACUAUUGGAAACGAUAGCUAAUACCGCAUAAUAUUAAUUAUUGCAUGAUAAUUAAUUGAAAGGUGCAAUUGCACCACUACCAGAUGGACCUGCGUUGUAUUAGCUAGUAGGUGAGGUAACGGCUCACCUAGGCGACGAUACAUAGCCGACCUGGGAGGGUGAUCGGCCACACUGGAACUGAGACACGGCCCAGACUCCUACGGGAGGCAGCAGUGGGGAAUCUUCGGCAAUGGACGAAAGUCUGACCAAGCAAGGCCGCGUGGGUGAAGAAGGUGUUCGGAUCUUAAAGCUCUGUUUUAGGGGAGGAACGGUUGUAAGGUUGGAAGUUCACACUGUGACGGUAUCUUACCAGAAAGGGACGGCUAACUACGUG